ACCAGAAAUGGCUCAGUUGGUAGAGCCUGAGAUUCCUAAUCUCAGGGUAAGGGGCUUGAGCCCCACAUGGGG